rnacentral:rRNA from 1 species
AUGGAUAUGGUCACUAACAUCCUUCGCUGCUCCAUUGGGCGGUUCCCGAUCAAGUAUCUAGGCCUCCCGUUGACCAUCUGCCGGCAAUCUGCGGCACAGCUUCAGGGACUUGUCGAUCACAUCGCGGCAAGCCUGCCCACAUGGCGUGCAUCAGCUCUGCCGAAGAGCGGCCGGCUGCUCCUCGUCAAGUCUGUCCUGUCGGCGAUGCCAAUCCAUGCGAUGUUGGCGUUCGAGCUUCCGGCCAAGACGAUCAAGGCUAUCAAUAAAAUUAUACGAGGAUUCCUCUGGUGUGGCAAAGCCGAAGCGAAUGGCGGCAACUGUGCGGUGGCAUGGCCGGCGGUCUGUACCCCUAUGUGGGCUGGUGGCCUGGGCGUGCCGGAUAUACAGUGGAUGAACACAGCCAUGCAGGUUAGGUGGCCGUGGCUAGCUCGGACCGACAACUCGAGGCCAUGGAGCGAGUUCAUGAUGCCAAUACCGAAAGAAGCCACACAGUUAUGCAAUGCGGCAAUGCACACGACGAUCGGUGAUGGCAGGGAUGCUUUGUUUUGGGAGGACAGGUGUAAGUGCAUCUAG